GGGGCGGUCCCGGCGCCUCCACCAAAGUAUAAUCAACAAAGAUUAUAUUUUUAUGGGGGCGAAACAGGAUCGACAAGGGUGUAAAGAUCGCUCUUUUACUCGGCAUUGUACCACCGUUAUCGGGCUAGAUGAAUAGUUGCAAAUGACAACUAUGCGGAGGCACGUCUCAUCGCUGCUUAAGCGAUGCGAAGGCUUCAAAUUAAGUCUUAAACCGUCGCAGGUUUAAGCGGGGUUCGAAGGCACCUGCAAACAGAAGCACA
rnacentral:tmRNA from 1 species